rnacentral:misc_RNA from 1 species
UCCGGUUUGUCACCGGCAGUCUCCCAUGAGUCCCCAACUUAAUGCUGGCAACAUGGAACGGGGGUUGCGCUCGUUGCGGGACUUAACCCAACAUCUCACGACACGAGCUGACGACAGCCAUGCAGCACCUGUGUUCCCGUUCCCUUUCGGGCACACCCGGGUUUCCCCAGGCUUCGGGACAUGUCAAAGGUAGGUAAGGUUUUUCGCGUUGCAUCGAAUUAAUCCACAUAAUCCACCGCUUGUGCGGGUCCCCGUCAAUUCCUUUGAGUUUUAACCUUGCGGCCGUACUCCCCAGGCGGUCGACUUCACGCGUUAGCUUGUUACUGAGAGUGUCAAACCCCCAAAACCUAGUGUUCAUCGUUUACGGCAUGGACUAC